UUUUAGGGAUAUCGGGCACAGGUUCUCCUCCUCCGACUGUUCUCCUUCACAGUUCGUGAGCCAUGUGCCGCACAGGCGGUAUCCCGCUUCGUGUGCAAAAAAGCUCGUC
rnacentral:sRNA from 12 species